rnacentral:rRNA from 1 species
UACGGAGGGUGCGAGCGUUAAUCGGAAUGACUGGGCGUAAAGGGCAUGUAGGCGGAUGAUUAAGUUAGGUGUGAAAGCCCUAGGCUCAACCUAGGAAUUGCACUUAAAACUGGUCAUCUGGAGUAUUGUAGAGGAAGGUAGAAUUCCACGUGUAGCGGUGAAAUGCGUAGAGAUGUGGAGGAAUACCGGUGGCGAAGGCGGCCUUCUGGACAGAUACUGACGCUGAGAUGCGAAAGCGUGGGGAGCAAAC